GGACAGCGGCUACACCCCGACGCCGGUGACCCCGUCUCCCAAGCCCGAGAAGCCACCCAAGGGCCACAAGCCGCCCCACCACCACCACCACGCCAAGCCUCCGGCUGGCUCCCACAAGCCGGCGCCUCCCACGGCCACUCCUCCCACGCCGGCGUACAAGCCACCCACGGCCACGCCUCCGGCUCCGACGCCACCGAAGUACACUCCGUCCCCGAAGCCACCGACGCCUAAGCCCACACCACCCACGUAUACCCCGACCCCGAAGCCGCCCACUCCCACACCAAAGCCCACGCCGCCAACGUACAAGCCGGCACCCAAGCCCACUCCUCCCACGUAUAAGCCCACACCCAAGCCCUCGCCGCCGACGUACCCGCCGAAGCCAACACCACCCACCUACAAGCCGGCGCCGAAGCCGACUCCCCCGACCUACAAGCCGGCGCCGAAGCCGACACCGCCCACCUACAAGCCCGCGCCGAAGCCGACGCCCCCGACCUACAAGCCGGACCCCAAGCCGACUCCCCCGACGUACAAGCCCGCGCCGAAGCCGGCCCCCAAGCCUACGCCCCCGAACUACAAGCCGGCGCCGAAGCCGACGCCGCCGUCGUACAAGCCGGCCCCGAAGCCCACUCCCCCGGCACCGAAGCCCACGCCGCCGACACCACCAGCCUACAAGCCGGCGCCGAAGCCGAGCCCUCCGACGCCCGCCCCGCCGGCGUACAAGCCUCCGACUCCGACUCCUCCGGCGUACAAGACCCCCACUCCGAGCCCGCCGCCGCCGCCCUACCACCACUAAGAUCCAUCACUCUCUUUAGUUGGGAGCACAGGU
rnacentral:lncRNA from 1 species